rnacentral:rRNA from 1 species
AGCAGCCGCGGUAAUUCCAGCUCCAAUAGCGUAUAUUAAAGUUGUUGCAGUUAAAAAGCUCGUAGUUGAAUUUCGGGAUCAAUAUGUCGGUCGUGCCUUCGGUACGUACUGGUAUCAUUGGUCUCUCCUUUCUGACGAACCAUGAUGUCAUUAAUUUGGUGUUAUGGGGAGUUAGGACUGUUACUUUGAAAAAAUUAGAGUGUUUAAAGCAGGCUUUAGCUUGAAUACAUUAGCAUGGAAUAAUGAAAUAGGACGUUCGAACCUAUUUUGUUGGUUUCUAGGAUCAACGUAAUGAUUAAUAGGGAUAGUUGGGGGCAUUAGUAUUCAAUUGUCAGAGGUGAAAUUCUUGGAUUUAUUGAAGACUAACUACUGCGAAAGCAUUUGCCAAGGAUGUUUUCAUUAAUCAAGAACGAAAGUUAGGGGAUCGAAGACGAUCAGAUACCGUCGUAGUCUUAACCAUAAACUAUGCCGACUAGGGAUCGGAUGAUGUUAAUUUUUAAUGUACUCAUUCGGCGCCUUA